rnacentral:rRNA from 1 species
AUGUUAGCGGCGGACGGGUGAGUAACACGUGGGUAACCUGCCUGUAAGACUGGGAUAACUCCGGGAAACCGGAGCUAAUACCGGAUAGUUCCUUGAACCGCAUGGUUCAAGGAUGAAAGACGGUUUCGGCUGUCACUUACAGAUGGACCCGCGGCGCAUUAGCUAGUUGGUGGGGUAAUGGCUCACCAAGGCGACGAUGCGUAGCCGACCUGAGAGGGUGAUCGGCCACACUGGGACUGAGACACGGCCCAGACUCCUACGGGAGGCAGCAGUAGGGAAUCUUCCGCAAUGGACGAAAGUCUGACGGAGCAACGCCGCGUGAGUGAUGAAGGUUUUCGGAUCGUAAAGCUCUGUUGUUAGGGAAGAACAAGUGCGAGAGUAACUGCUCGCACCUUGACGGUACCUAACCAGAAAGCCACGGCUAACUACGUGCCAGCAGCCGCGGUAAUACGUAGGUGGCAAGCGUUGUCCGGAAUUAUUGGGCGUAAAGGGCUCGCAGGCGGUUUCUUAAGUCUGAUGUGAAAGCCCCCGGCUCAACCGGGGAGGGUCAUUGGAAACUGGGAAACUUGAGUGCAGAAGAGGAGAGUGGAAUUCCACGUGUAGCGGUGAAAUGCGUAGAGAUGUGGAGGAACACCAGUGGCGAAGGCGACUCUCUGGUCUGUAACUGACGCUGAGGAGCGAAAGCGUGGGGAGCGAACAGGAUUAGAUACCCUGGUAGUCCACGCCGUAAACGAUGAGUGCUAAGUGUUAGGGGGUUUCCGCCCCUUAGUGCUGCAGCUAACGCAUUAAGCACUCCGCCUGGGG